UCAAAGCAACACAACAAUACUGUUAUAUAAAAGUUCAUAGAAAGUGUUUGAACUCUUUACCUUUGUACUCAUGAUAUAUAAGAUAAGAAGAUUCCAUCAGUUUCCAUCAGAUUAUCAGUUUAGUUUUUGCUGAUCUCAGAGCUGGACUGAUAUACAGUACAAAGAAAUGCAUUUCAACUUUAUGAGGCGGUUUACCGGACAGGGUUUACACUAAUACCAGACUUAAAUAUCAUGUGCUCUUCAUGAUCUAAUACUGACCCACUCCAGCUAAAUAAGGAUUGAUGGCGGUCCAGACUCCAACACUUCCCUUCCUGAGCCUCUGUCCGAUGGCAAACUCCAGGUGAAGCAGUGGAAUUCCCUCCAGGACCAGAAGAAUCAGGAAUGGGAUCAUAAACGCUCCUGAAUGGAUCACACAUUUGAAGUUUGUGUCUUACCUCCGCCGUGACUCUGACACAGAUACGGGAAUCUCCAGACGUUCCCCAGACCAACGCAGAAGCCCACACAGGUCAGCAUGUAUUGAGUUUUGUUGUCCCAUUUAGGUCUUUCUCCAAC